rnacentral:rRNA from 1 species
UACAGAGGUCUCAAGCGUUGUUCGGAUUCAUUGGGCGUAAAGGGUGCGUAGGUGGCGCGCUAAGUCAGGUGUGAAAUUUCGGAGCUUAACUCCGAAACUGCAUUUGAUACUGGCGUGCUUGAGGACUGGAGAGGAGACUGGAAUUCAUGGUGUAGCAGUGAAAUGCGUAGAGAUCAUGAGGAAGACCAGUGGCGAAGGCGGGUCUCUGGACAGUUCCUGACACUGAGACACGAAGGCCAGGGGAGCAAACGGG